rnacentral:rRNA from 1 species
GACGAACGCUGGCGGCGUGCCUAAUACAUGCAAGUCGAGCGGAGUUUAUCGGGAGCUUGCUCCUGAUAAACUUAGCGGCGGACGGGUGAGUAACACGUAGGCAACCUGCCCGUAAGACUGGGAUAACUACCGGAAACGGUAGCUAAUACCGGAUACGCAAGUCUCUCGCAUGAGGGGCUUGGGAAAGGCGGAGCAAUCUGUCACUUACGGAUGGGCCUGCGGCGCAUUAGCUAGUUGGUGGGGUAACGGCUCACCAAGGCGACGAUGCGUAGCCGACCUGAGAGGGUGAACGGCCACACUGGGACUGAGACACGGCCCAGACUCCUACGGGAGGCAGCAGUAGGGAAUCUUCCGCAAUGGACGAAAGUCUGACGGAGCAACGCCGCGUGAGUGAUGAAGGUUUUCGGAUCGUAAAGCUCUGUUGCCAGGGAAGAACGUCCGUUAGAGUAACUGCUAACGGAGUGACGGUACCUGAGAAGAAAGCCCCGGCUAACUACGUGCCAGCAGCCGCGGUAAUACGUAGGGGGCGAGCGUUGUCCGGAUUUACUGGGUGUAAAGGGAGAGUAGGCGGCAUGGUAAGUUAGAUGUGAAAGCCCGGGGCUUAACCUCGGGAUUGCAUUUAAAACUAUCAAGCUAGAGUACAGGAGAGGUAAGUGGAAUUCCUAGUGUAGCGGUGAAAUGCGUAGAUAUUAGGAAGAACACCAGUGGCGAAGGCGACUUACUGGACUGAAACUGACGCUGAGGCUCGAAAGCGUGGGGAGCGAACAGGAUUAGAUACCCUGGUAGUCCACGCCGUAAACGAUGAGUGCUAGGUGUCGGGGGGGAACCCUCGGUGCCGCAGCUAACGCAAUAAGCACUCCACCUGGGGAGUACGAUCGCAAGAUUGA